GUUCCCUACGGGGCGCAGCAGUGGGGAAUAUUGCACAAUGGGGGAAACCCUGAUGCAGCGACGCCGCGUGGGUGAAGAAGUACUUCGGUACGUAAAGCCCUAUCAGCAGGGAAGAAAAUGACGGUACCUGAUUAAGAAGCCCCGGCUAACUACGUGCCAGCAGCCGCGGUAAUACGUAGGGGGCAAGCGUUAUCCGGAUUUACUGGGUGUAAAGAGGGCGCAGACGGCGAUGCAAGCCAGGAGUGAAAGCCCGGGGCCCAACCCCGGGACUGCUCUUGGAACUGCGUGGCUGGAGUGCAGGAGGG
rnacentral:rRNA from 1 species